AUGUGCCACGCGUACACUCCUCCGCGCCGUCCGCACCCACCCGACGACCGCUCGCCACGUUCUGUUAGCC
rnacentral:sRNA from 1 species